rnacentral:rRNA from 1 species
AACGAACGUUGGCGGCAUGGAUUAGGCAUGCAAGUCGAACGAAUGCCGGGGUAGCAAUACCUCGGCGGAAGUGGCGAAAGGGGCAGUAAUACAUGAAUAACCUACCCUGGGGUUGGGCAUAGCCAUUCUAACGGACGGGUAAUUCCCAGCGAUUCGGCGGUGCCGGCAUCGGUACACCGGGAAAGAAUUUCGCCUCGGGAGGGGUUCAUGAGCUAUCAGCUAGUUGGCGGGGUAACGGCCCACCAAGGCGUAGACGGCUAGCGGGUGUGAGAGCACGACCCGCGCCACUGGCACUGAGACACUGGCCAGACACCUACGGGUGGCUGCAGUCGAGGAUCUUCGUCAAUGGGCGCAAGCCUGAACGAGCGAUGCCGCGUGAGCGAUGAAGGCCUUCGGGUUGUAAAGCUCAAAAGGGAUGAGAAAGGGAAACUUGAUCGAAUCCCAGUAAGCUCGGGCUAAGUUCGUGCCAGCAGCCGCGGUAAGACGAACCGAGCGAACGUUGUUCGGAAUCACUGGGCUUAAAGGGCGCGUAGGCGGGUUCGCAAGUCUGUGGUGAAAUCCUCCGGCUCAACCGGAGAACUGCCUCGGAUACUGCGGGUCUCGAGGGUGAUAGGGGUAUGCGGAACUAUCGGUGGAGCGGUGAAAUGCGUUGAUAUCGAUAGGAACUCCGGUGGCGAAGGCGGCAUACUGGAUCACUUCUGACGCUGAGGCGCGAAAGCCAGGGGAGCAAACGGGAUUAGAUACCCCGGUAGUCCUGGCCCUAAACGAUGGGUACUAGCUAGUAGGGUUCACAUGGCUUUACUGGCGAAGCAAAAGUGCUAAGUACCCCGCCUGGGGAGUAUGGUCGCAAGGCUG